AUCUUCAAGCAUUGAAUUGACCAUAUUUAAUUGUAUGUGUAUUAUUUCAUUUAUGAUCAUCAAGUAUUUUGAGAUGACACUUUUUAUCCCUCCUUACAGCUUCUGUGGGAGAUGAAGGAGCAAUUCCUUGUAGAAGCUGAUUGCUAAUGGUCACAGAGUUGGAUCGAAUGGCAACGAAGAUGGUUCAAAGAGCAUCUAUGUGUGACCUAAAGGACUGCUGCCAAAUCAAUGCCUGCCUGGAUGAUUCAGACUCAUUAGGGAUGCAGCAAUUCUACUGCUGCCUUCCAUUUUCAGAGAGGACUCAUCCUUUCUAUACACUCUACUGGAGGAGCCAAGCGUGCCUACUCCAGCAAUCAUGCUCCAUAACACACACGAGGGGAACCCUUUGCAGGCACAAAGGAUAGUCCUAUACCUGGAUGGUAUACAGGUUUUGACUGAGGACAGCAGCAUGGACAAAUCAUAUGCUAUGAGUGCAUUAAUGUCACUCUAUAUUGUUUUUGCUGUCCAGUACCCAAAGGAACUGAGAAAAACUCUUAUUUUCAUUGAAAGAUUUGUGUUGGGGAUCAAGGACCACAGUGUUGUACCCAUUUCAGUGAAGAGACUA